AACCCCGAAACCAGGUGAGCUACCCCGAGACAGCCUAUUAAAAUAGGGCUAACCCGUCUCUGUGGCAAAAGAGUGGGAAGAGCUCCGGGUAGAAGUGAUAGACCUACCGAACCUGGUGAUAGCUGGUUGCCUGGGAAAUGGAUAGAAGUUCAGCCUCGCACACCCCCUAAUCAAAAUUUUUUACUUAAGAUAUUGGGAAAAGUACGAGAGUUAGUUGAAGGGGGUACAGCCCCUUCAACAAAGGAUACAACCUUAGCAGAAGGAUAAAGAUCAAAAUAUACAAAACAUCCUGUUCUAGUGGGCCUAAAAGCAGCCACCUAAACAGAAAGCGUUAAAGCUCAGACAGAAAAAAGUUUAUUAUAAGGAUAAUAAAUCUUAUUCCCCUAAUAUUAUCAGGCUAUUCCAUGCCCCCAUGGAAGAAAUUAUGCUAAAAUGAGUAACAAGAAGAACUGCUCUUCUCCAAGCACAAGUGUAAACCAGAUCGGACAAACCACUGGAAAAUAACGAGCCCAAAUAAUAGAGGGUAAUGUAGACAACAAAAAAAUCAGGAAAACCCUACAACUUAGACAUCGUUAACCCCACACUGGAGUGCUAUAUAAAAGGAAAGACUAAAAGAAAGGAAAGGAACUCGGCAAACACAAGCCUCGCCUGUUUACCAAAAACAUCGCCUCCUGCAACUGUUUAAGUAUAGGAGGUCCAGCCUGCCCAGUGACUAUAAGUUUAACGGCCGCGGUAUUUUGACCGUGCAAAGGUAGCGCAAUCACUUGUCUUUUAAAUAGAGACCUGUAUGAAUGGCCAAACGAGGGCUUAACUGUCUCCCCCUUCCAGUCAGUGAAAUUGAUCUAUCCGUGCAGAAGCGGGUAUAAAUAUACAAGACGAGAAGACCCUUUGGAGCUUAAGGUACAAAGUUUAAUCAUGUUAAACAACUUAUUAAAGAGCAAAAACUUAAUGGAAAAUAAACAUUUACCUUCGGUUGGGGCGACCACGGAGGAAAAAUCAGCCUCCGAGUGGAACGGGCUAAAUACCUAAAACCAAGAGAGACAUCUCUAAGCCACAGAAAAUCUGACCAAAAAUGAUCCGACACAUAGUCGAUCAACGAACCAAGUUACCCUAGGGAUAACAGCGCAAUCCUCUCCCAGAGUCCAUAUCGACGAGGGGGUUUACGACCUCGAUGUUGGAUCAGGACAUCCUAAUGGUGCAGCCGCUAUUAAGGGUUCGUUUGUUCAACGAUU
rnacentral:rRNA from 1 species